GGCGACAGAGCAAGACUCCGUCUCAAAAAGAAAAAAAAGGAGCACUGCCAGUUGGCAAGGAAGGACUCUGUGUGGUGAUCUAGGGACAAAUGGUGAGACGUCGAGGGAAUUGAGGGACAUUUCAGGGUAGAAUCAAUAGGAACUGGACCCUGCCUGAGCUGCUGGUCCUUCUAGCUUCCAGAAUGAUAACCCCACCCCAAGGUGCCUCUGGCACCUGCUCGGGCAGCACUAGGAAUACCACACUGAGACUGUGCAUACCCAGCAGGGCAGGGUGGAAUGCUCGUUGCCUGUGUAGUUCACCCAGCGGCAGGGCCUGGCUUAACUUCCAACCUGGCCUUGGCUUAACUUCCUGAGUGACCUGUCUCUGCCAUCCCCUACCGUGCUCCCGUCUCUAUAUAAGAUGCAUGAAUUUAGUACCUGAAGUAGUCCCUGGCGCAGCAUAGAUACUCAUGAAGUGGUAGCUGAGUUUUUUUGUUGUUCUUGUUUGUUUGUUUGCUUGUUUGUUGUAGAGACAGGGCCUCACUGUUGCCCAGGCUGGUCUCGAACUCCUGGCCUCAAGCAAUCCUCCCAUCUUGGCUUGCCAAGGUGCUGGGAUUACAGGUGUGAGCCACUGCUCCCAGCCCAGUAGCCAAGAUUAUUAAUUCCUUAUGGCUCUGGGGAGCAUUCAGAGAGACAAAAGAACACUUCAUCCAGUUACUCACUAUUCACCUACUGUACAGCUUUGGUCCCUCCCCAGAGCUGGGGGACAGGUCCUGGAGAGGACUAAGUUAUACACAGUGUUGAAACUAAAGGAAGAUGAAGGCAUCAGACACUAAGCACCACAGAACUCAGGACGGCUGCGGAGAAAUCGAGUUCCCUUCAGAGCUCAUCAAAAUUCAGAUGUGUAAAGAAAAAAGGAUGUUUGUCAGGGUCAGGCUUCUCUUGGUCCACACUGAGCAUUUUACCAUCAUCUGGGAAGAGCACCAAGAGCCAUCAGGACACUGGAUCUUUUAAAAACAUGUGAGGCGAGCCAGGUGUG
rnacentral:lncRNA from 1 species